GCGCCUGUAGCUCAGUUGGAUAGAGCGGCACUCUUCUAAAGUGCAUGCCGCAGGUUCGAUUCCUGCCAGGCGCA
rnacentral:tRNA from 1 species